AUUGAACGCUGGCGGCAGGCCUAACACAUGCAAGUCGAACGAGUGGCGGACGGGUGAGUAAUGUCUGGGAAACUGCCUGAUGGAGGGGGAUAACUACUGGAAACGGGCGCUAAUACCGCAUACUAUCAGAUGAGCCUAGGUCGGAUUAGCUAGUUGGUGGGGUAAAGGCCUACCAAGGCGACGAUCCGUAACUGGUCUGAGAGGAUGACCAGCCACACUGGAACUGAGACACGGUCCAGACUCCUACGGGAGGCAGCAGUGGGGAAUAUUGCACAAUGGGCGCAAGCCUGAUGCAGCCAUGCCGCGUGUAUGAAGAAGGCCUUCGGGUUGUAAAGUACUUUCAGCGGGGAGGCGUUACCCGCAGAAGAAGCACCGGCUAACUCCGUGCCAGCCGCCGCGGUAAUUC
rnacentral:rRNA from 1 species